ACCUCCAACAUUGUCAUCUUAGGUUUCAAGCCAGACGCCAUUCUUUGGUGCACUGCUUCAUUGUCUUAUUACCUUGACCGAAAACACCUUUUUUUGCAUUACAGGAGUGGAAGACUCAGCGCUACGUUCAGAGGCGUUCGGCUGCUGAGUGCAGAAGUUGGUCAAGUGAUUUCAAAGCUUCCAGUUGGCCUCAAAGAAGAGUUUACCAGUAACCAUGUGGAUCGAUGAUGUGGCUCCUCAUAGAAUUCACCAACAUGACAAGACUUUGACACAGAUUUCGUCUGAGAUGAACCAGUUCAUCUGCUGAAGGCAACAAAGGUCACAUUUGUACAUCUGCAGUAAAGUUGAUUUCUUUAAUAGGCAAGAGGAAAGAAUAUUUUGUGUCAAGAGUUUUAAGAUUUAUGUUGGUGGUAAAAUCAUAAUGUUGUACAAGGUAUUGAAGAGAAACGCUGUUCAAAUAAAGAUUCUAAACACAUUUGCUGUAGUUGUAACUUGAUUGGCAGUCGGAAAUAAUUUUUUAGUUGGUGAAGAAAACAGUAGUUUACACAGUAAUGGUGUCCUGUGAUUAUUGUAGAACAAGAAAUUC
rnacentral:lncRNA from 1 species